UACAGAGGUCUCAAGCGUUGUUCGGAUUCAUUGGGCGUAAAGGGUGCGUAGGUGGCGCGGUAAGUCGGGUGUGAAAUCUCGGAGCUUAACUCCGAAAUUGCAUUCGAUACUACCGUGCUCGAGGACUGGAGAGGAGACUGGAAUUCAUGGUGUAGCAGUGAAAUGCGUAGAGAUCAUGAGGAAGACCAGUGGCGAAGGCGGGUCUCUGGACCGGUAUUGACGCUGAGGUGCGAAAGCGUGGGGAGCAAACAGG
rnacentral:rRNA from 1 species